UUGGUCGUGUUAGUUCAUAUUAGUGGGUGCGAUUUCCUCUGUCUAAGGCUCAGAUUAAUUAUUUAUGCUUCGAACUGCUUAAGAAGCACUUUAAAAAAAAAAAUAAACUGCCACAUAAACAUGCAAUGCCCCCCCACCACCACUCCAAGUGUUUCUAUAGCACGAUUUGAAUCUCGCGUCCCCGGCUCGGAGGGCUGAGCGGGCAUGGAAGAGUAUGUGUUUCUGUGAUUUAAGGUUUAUGCAGUGAAGCAGCAACGUCUUCACCGAGUGACUGAACUAUUUUAUUUUUACUGUUUUCCUAGGUCACCCGGCGGAACAAGGACACAUGAAUAUUGUAAACUUCUAUCUCUCCGUUUUCUUUCUUUCUUUUUUUUUUUUUCUUUUUUUAACAGAUUCAGACAGGUACCACCUUCUAUUUUUAAUACAAGCCAAGAGACGCAAACGUUAAAGACCAGUGCCAUCUCAAAUCCCCGGGUGUGAAUACUUCGUCUGUCACGACUGUCCCUGGGAAUCCACAGGAGGUGAACUGAAUAAGAUUAGACUAUUUACCCCAUCAACUCUCCAUCAAAGAAGAGUGAGUCGUUUUGCCGCGAAACCCCCGGUUUUGAUACCCGCUUGGCAAAACCCGCUCUCGGAGUUUCUCAUUUCCCGUGCCCUCUUCGCUAACCUGGCAAACGGAAAAUUGUGUUAAACAAACAAUCAGUUGUCGCACAAUGUCGGGGUGAAAUUGUAAUAACAAAUGAAACACAAGCAAAUUGUGCUGCAUAGUGUUGCUAAGCAAUUGUUUGUUACGGGAGGGUGGUCACAGCAUGGGUUGAAAGAGGGAUCUAAAGAGGAGCAUAGCGCUGGGCAGAGCAAGCUGUUAGGUAUGAAAUACGGUAAACACCGCGCUGAUUUUCAAUAUUAUUACCCAAACACGAUUCCAUACAAAGCAAUCACCAUACACAAGUCUAUGAAAAUGCGCUUGUUGAGAAAACGGACAUUUUUUUUCUUUUAUUUUAAUACCUUAAAGAGCAAUUCCGGGGAUGCAAA